GACGAACGCUGGCGGCGUGCCUAAUACGUGCAAGUAGAACGCUGAAGAGAGGAGCUUGCUCUUCUUGGAUGAGUUGCGAACGGGUGAGUAACGCGUAGGUAACCUGCCUUGUAGCGGGGGAUAACUAUUGGAAACGAUAGCUAAUACCGCAUAACAAUGGAUGACACAUGUCAUUUAUUUGAAAGGGGCAAUUGCUCCACUACAAGAUGGACCCGCGUUGUAUUAGCUAGUAGGUGAGGUAACGGCUCACCUAGGCGACGAUACAUAGCCGACCUGAGAGGGUGAUCGGCCACACUGGGACUGAGACACGGCCCAGACUCCUACGGGAGGCAGCAGUAGGGAAUCUUCGGCAAUGGGGGCAACCCUGACCGAGCAACGCCGCGUGAGUGAAGAAGGUUUUCGGAUCGUAAAGCUCUGUUGUAAGUCAAGAACGAGUGUGAGAGUGGAAAAUUCACACUGUGACGGUAGCUUACCAGAAAGGGACGGCUAACUACGUGCCAGCAGCCGCGGUAAUACGUAGGUCCCGAGCGUUGUCCGGAUUUAUUGGGCGUAAAGCGAGCGCAGGCGGUUUGAUAAGUCUGAAGUUAAAGGCUGUGGCUCAACCAUAGUUCGCUUUGGAAACUGUCAAACUUGAGUGCAGAAGGGGAGAGUGGAAUUCCAUGUGUAGCGGUGAAAUGCGUAGAUAUAUGGAGGAACACCGGUGGCGAAAGCGGCUCUCUGGUCUGUAACUGACGCUGAGGCUCGAAAGCGUGGGGAGCGAACAGG
rnacentral:rRNA from 1 species